rnacentral:rRNA from 1 species
UGGGGAAUAUUGCACAAUGGGCGCAAGCCUGAUGCAGCCAUGCCGCGUGUGUGAAGAAGGCCUUCGGGUUGUAAAGCACUUUCAGCGGGGAGGAAGGCGUUAAGGUUAAUAACCUUGGCGAUUGACGUUACCCGCAGAAGAAGCACCGGCUAACUCCGUGCCAGCAGCCGCGGUAAUACGGAGGGUGCAAGCGUUAAUCGGAAUUACUGGGCGUAAAGCGCACGCAGGCGGUCUGUCAAGUCGGAUGUGAAAUCCCCGGGCUCAACCUGGGAACUGCAUUCGAAACUGGCAGGCUAGAGUCUUGUAGAGGGGGGUAGAAUUCCAGGUGUAGCGGUGAAAUGCGUAGAGAUCUGGAGGAAUACCGGUGGCGAAGGCGGCCCCCUGGACGAAGACUGACGCUCAGGUGCGAAAGCGUGGGGAGCAAACAG